AGUGAACGCUGGCGGUAGGCCUAACACAUGCAAGUCGAACGGCAGCACAGUAAGAGCUUGCUCUUACGGGUGGCGAGUGGCGGACGGGUGAGGAAUACAUCGGAAUCUACUUUUUCGUGGGGGAUAACGUAGGGAAACUUACGCUAAUACCGCAUACGCCCUACGGGGGAAAGCAGGGGAUCUUCGGACCUUGCGCGAUUGAAUGAGCCGAUGUCGGAUUAGUUAGUUGGCGGGGUAAAGGCCCACCAAGGCGACGAUCCUUAUCUGGUCUGGGAGAAUGGUCGGCCACAUUGGAACGGGAACGGGGACCAGACUCCUACGGGAGGGAGCAGUGGGGUACAUUAGACAGUAGUCGCAAACCUUACCCAACCAUACCGCGUCGGUGACGGAGGCGUUCGGGUUGUAAAGCCCUUUUGUUGGUAAAGAAAAGCAGCAGGUUAUUACCCCGCUGUAGUGACGGUACCCGAAGAAUAAGCACCGGCUAACUUCGUG
rnacentral:rRNA from 1 species